rnacentral:lncRNA from 1 species
CUCCAAACACAAGCCAAGGACCAGGCCAGGCUUCAAUAUUUGUCGAGCCUGGUGGCUAAGAAAUCUGUGGUGCCGAUAGCUUCUGGCAGGCAGAUUGUGCAAAGUCCCACUUAUAUCGUGAGGGCCAACAUUGGAACCCCACCUCAAACCUUGCUUAUGGCCAUGGAUACUAGCAAUGAUGCCGCUUGGAUACCUUGCACUGGCUGCCUUGGCUGCUCUUCUACUGUCUUUGACAAUGCUAAAUCCACCACUUUCCAGUCCCUCGGCUGCCAAGCUCCUCAAUGCAAGCAGGUAACCUCCCAACCUUUCAUUUCUCCGCAACUUCCUAUGAAUGCCAAAACCCUAUCCAUCUUAAGAUUUUACACAGAUUUGCUCCAAACGUGGAUGUUAUUCUUGUAAAGUUUCAGCAGCCAAAGGGUGCAGGAAUAGGCUAAAAUAUUAUUUUUAUUUCCACAUAUUAUUCAAAAAAUCAAUUAAUAUUUAAAAUUUUAAAUUUGAAAAAUAUAAAAAUUAAGAUUUUAACUAAUAAGAUUUUAUUAGUACCAUUUAGAUCUAGAGUAAAAUUAAAAAAAAAUACAUUAAAAUUAAAUAAUUCAAACAAAUAUAUGAAUUAAAUUUAAUUAAAAUAAAAUAUAAAAAUUAAAUUACUUUCAAUUCUCAAUCGGAAAUAAUUUAUUGGCUUAAUACUUAUUAAAUGUAAAUAUUUAAUAUUGAUUUUUUUAAUAUGUUUUAGCUGUUGAAUUAGCUUUUGACUGAUUUAAUGUUUAUUUGACUUAUUAUUCACCACUGAUUUCGGAUCCAAUCUGAUUUUUAUCCUUAGCUUUAAUAAAUGAUUGAUGAAACAGAAUUUGGACAAGACAAACCCAACAUCUGCACCACUUUGAUCCAUUGCCAAUCUAUCAACUUUCCAUGUACCUUGUCAAUCUAAUAUCUUAAAAGCACUUGCAUGACAUGAUGGAUUCAGGUACAAAAUCCCAGCUGCGAUGGCAGUGGCAACACUUGCAUAUUCAACAUGACCUACGGGGGUUCAACCAUUGCAGCAAACCUCUCACAGGACACAUUCACCUUAGCCAACGACUCUGUCUCGAGCUACACUUUCGGCUGCCUGCAAAAGACAACCGGCAACUCGGUGCCACCACAAGGUCUAUUGGGGCUCGGCCGAGGUCCAUUAUCCCUUCUAUCUCAGACCCAAGACCUGUACCAAGCCACAUUUUCAUACUGUUUGCCUAAUUUUAGGUCCGCCAACUUUUCUGGGUCAUUGAGACUUGGGCCAGUGGGGCAGCCAGUGAGGAUCAAAUACACCCCAUUACUGAAGAACCCGAGGAGACCAUCCCUUUACUUUGUGAAUUUGAUUGGAAUUAGGGUUGGAAACAAAGUUGUUGAUAUCCCACCAUCUGCCAUUGCUUUCAAUCCUACCACCGGUGCUGGCACCAUUAUUGAUUCUGGUAAUUUUUGCCUUUUAUUCUAUCAAAAUAUUUGCUUUUUUUAAAAAAGAAAAUUAUUUAAUUUUUAUGUGAUGCAAAAUUAUAAAAAAUAAUAUAAUAUAUAAUAUAAUUAAAAUAUAUGUUUAUUAAAUUAAUUCAAACUUUAAAUGUUGAAUUUUUUAAAGCUCUUUUUUGUGUUAGGCAUAAUUCCAAUCUUAUCAGUUGUCUUUAAAGUUGAGAACAUAAUAAUGACAACAUGCUGCAUUAUCGUAUUCCAAUUGCAACUGUUGAAUAUAGUGUACUUACUUUUGAUUUUUUUUUUAAAAAUAUUUUCAUUAAAUGUUUCAUGAAAUUUAACUAAAAAAAGCGUAAUUUAAAAUAUCACAAUAAUUUUGGCAUUUAAAAUUUCAGGUACCGUUUUCACCCGGCUAGUUGAACCAGCCUAUGUAGCCGUCCGAGACGAGUUUCGAAGACGAGUUAAGGUGGCCAACGUAACAUCUCUUGGCGGUUUCGACACAUGUUACACAGUCCCGAUUGUGGCUCCGACGAUAACGUUCAUGUUCACCAGCAUGAACGUGACACUGCCACAAGACAACCUGUUAAUCCACAGCACAGCAGGCAGCAUCACAUGUUUGGCGAUGGCAUCGGCACCGGAUAAUGUGAAUUCUGUGCUGAAUGUGAUAGCCAAUAUGCAGCAACAGAACCAUAGGAUCCUUUUCGAUGUGCCAAAUUCCAGGUUGGGCGUUGCCCGUGAGCUCUGCACCUAAAUUCUAGCUUUGUUCCCUAAUUUAUUUAUCCCUGUUUUCGUGUAUUUUAUUGUGUGACCAUCGUAUUUAAAGUAUUUAAUAUUUAUGUAAACUUAAAUGUAUUAAUAAUUUGCAACAUUAAAUUUUGAUAUUUGGUAUAUUUGUGUUGAAUUUUUGUACAACAUAUUUAUUACUAAAAUCUAAGUUUAUUUUAUCAACAAGUGGUUGGAAGAAGUGAGAGUGAACUUCUUCUUGAAAUAUUUAAAUCAAGUUUCAAUAUUGGAAUUGACAUUAUAUGGAGGGUUUUACCAAAAUACCACUUCCGGCCUGAACAAUAUUAAACUCAAACAAUAAAAUAGAUGAUAGCACUUGUGCGUAUAAAAAAAAAUGUAAAUCAAUUUUUUGCUUUUAAAAAGAAAAAUUCAAAAUCAUGGGCUCUGGCAUAUUUAUUCGAGAGCUAAAUUAGUUCAAGUUUAUUCAGCUCAAUUUGUAGAGGUGAAUUUAGGGGGGCUGGGCCCGACUUCCCUAAAUUUUUAAAAUAAUUAUUAAGUCCUCAGGUUUUAAAAUUUUUAUUUUGAUAUUAUAAUUAGUAUUUUUAGAAAAAGAUAAAUUUGUGUUUGGUUCCCCAAAGUUUUUUUUUAAAUUUGAAUCCUUUAAUAGAAUUUAUAAUUUUUUUAUUAUAAAGUUAGUAACAUUUUUAGUUUAAUUUGGUAAACGAAUACAAUUUAGUAUCUAAAUAUUAAUCUGAUAAAAAUAAAGUUUAAUAAUUGCAAUAACUAAAUAUAAAUGUAUUUAAAUAUUAAUUAAGUAAAAAAAAAUUAAAUAAUCAUAAUAUCUAAUACAAAUUGAGCAUUUAACUCUUUUUUUUUUCUAAAUUUUGAUAAUAAAAAUUAUCUCGAAUUUAAAAAUAGGCUUAGCCUGUACUUUGAACAUGUAUAUUUUAUAAAAAUACCCCGAUCCCCUCUUAUUAACAAUUCUGACUUCAUCUCUGUCAACUUGAAUUAAAAUUUUAAUAUUAAAAUUAAUAAUUUUAUUUGAAUUGAUUGUAUAAAUAUAUAAACAUGCUUUCAAUAUAUUAUUAUUAUAAAGUAGUGAAAUGGGCAUUUUAAGAUUCAAGCCUGGUUGGAAUAGGUUUAGGUAAAAUUUUCAAAAAAUUGAGCUAUGGGCUGGCUGGAUUGAAAAUGUCCAUAGGUUAGAUCUAACUCAUGUAUAAUAUCAAUGUUGUAAACUUAACUCUAUUCAAGAUAUAAGCUUUGAAUUUUUCUAAAUCUAACUCUAUUCAAGCACGUCACUUUUUAUAAUUUUUUAAAUAUAAAUUAUUAAUUUAAUAUAAUUUUAAUAUUUAUAUUAAAGUAUUUUAUAUUGUUAGAUUUUUUUUGAUUUUAACUAAACUUGAAUACAAAUAAAUAAAAAGAUUUAAACAUAAAUGUAUGGGACAUAAAAUAAUGUAGAGGAAAUGAGAAAUUCGGAUCUCACGGGUGUCACUGCUGCUGAAGGGUGUUAUAGGAUCAUACAUUUCCCAAAUCCCAAACUGCAUGCAAAAGAGGAGGUGAAAAUAAAUAAAAAUUUUCAGAUAUUAGUUACACUAAUCUAUGAAACUCGGAUGAAUAUCAUAUAUGAAUAUAUACAAGGUUAUAAUUUAUUUAAAAAUUCAUAUUUCGUAACUGUAUUUCGAAUGUGUUGAAGAAUUGGAGUAAUAUUAAUAUACCUUGGACUUGUAUCACUUUUACUCCUCUGAAUCACUUUCUUCUUCUUCCUCCGUAUCAUAGAUGAAUCUAUUAUCAAUCUGAACAAAAGGGAUGCGAGCAAUGUUGGACCAGUCUUUCCCUUCAUCCCUUCUGCAACUUUCUUUUAACAAUGGACAGUCAUGGAUAUAUAAUUCCAACAAUGACAUAAGCAUGUCUCUUCCGGGCAAACAUUUCAGCUUUGGAAGUUUAACAAUGGACAGACAUUCAAGGAAGGGAAGGUUUUGAAAGCCCUUGGAAGACAGGGUUUCGACAUUUGGGAAAUCGCUGAUGGCGAGUUUGCUUAGAGAACAAGGCAACAUCAUGCCUUUCCCUUCAUGUGGAAACAUUACCCCAUCUGAAUAUCCUCCAUGGAUUGCAAGUCUUUUAAGAGAAGUGAGCUUAUGGAAUCCCCAAUGGAUCAGUCCUUCAAGAAUUUCAGGUUUUGAGAUUGUAAGCGAAGUCAAGUUUGUAGGGAAACCUUCUUCAGGAAAGGUUAAUAAACAUGGACAGUUUGAUAUCUCCAGUUCCUGAAGAUAUGUGAGGCAAUGCAGGCCAUUUGGUAGAGCUUGGAGUAUACGGCACCAGCUUAGAUGCAGCACAUGUAGGCCGGUUGAGGGCAACCUGGAAACCGAAACCAGAUUCCGAAAGCAUUCGAUAUGCAGUUGCUGCAGAUAGCUGAGCUUGUCCAAUCCAUCUGGCAGAUACUGAAUUUUUUCACACCUGGCAAUAAAAAUGGACUCAAGGCAAGUGUUGUUGUGAACUGAAUCUGCAAUGGAUUCCAGCAUUUGGCAAGUGUCUAUCCGCAGGUGUUUAAGCCCCACAGGUAAGUAGCCACUUGAUGAUAAAUAGGCCAAUUUUGGACAACUCCAUAUCUUCAGAUGUUGAAGCUUAACAGGUAAAUCACCUGUUGAUGAUAAAGAUGCUAGAGAACGGCAUCGUUCAAUUAUCAGAUGGCUAAGUAAAGAUCUUCUGCUGAUGUUCAUACCAUCUUCAUCUAAUAAACACUUCAAAUUAUCACAAUUUUUUACCACCAACCCUUUUAGCGUAAGAGGCAAGUUGUCGUGUGAAAAUGACAACAGUUUCGGGCAUUUUACAAUCUCUAGCUCCCUAAGGGAUGUAAGAUUGUACAUAGUUGCAGAUAACUUCUCUAAUUUUUCACAAUGCUUGAUUCUUAGAUGUUCAAGACUGCAAAGUGUUUCCAUUUGUCGCACCUCUUCUUUUUGCCCUCCUAUGGAUAUCCCCAUUGAAACAAGUUGAGAACAGUUCAAGAUUUCCAAAUUCCGGAGGAAACUUGAUUGUGCUAACCAUCCUGCUCCAUUGUGGCACAAGGAAGGAAGCUCUCUACAACCACCGACCCGAAGAAACUCGGUUUGUGAUAAGCCUAACAUCAACCCUUUUAAACAAGAAAACCAUGUGAUAUUUGAGAGAGUGGCCUUCUUGAUUGAGCAAAGGUCAAGAGAGCCAUCAUGUCUCACUCUUUUGCAGCCAACAAUUUCUAUUUCAUACAACCUGGAAUGCUUUGGAACUGAAACUUCCAAUAGUUGACAGUCAUGGAUCACAAGCUUUUCCAAGCAAGGAAGAUAGUUUGGUAAGCUCCCCAACAGUUUGGGGCAUUUCUUGACAGAGAGAUCACGGAGGCAAUUGAAGUUUCCGGUUUUCUCAUCGGCUUGGUAUGUAUUCCACUCCUUCAACUCUGGCAUUUCUUCGAAACGAAGAAUCUCUAAUGCCGGAAAUGCAUUUGAGCAAUUUUCUCCAUAGAACUCAACACCUAUCUUAUUGACAUAAUCCAUUCCUUUGACAUAAAGGGCCUUCAAAAACGGCAGUUGUCCAAGUGCUGGUAAUGAAGUACACUUGUGGCAAUGUUCAAACUCUAAGAACAUUAAAUUUUUUAAUGAACAAUCUCUGACCCAUGUCGGGAAUGUCUGACCACCAUAACACUUGAUGGAGAGUUUCUUAAGUUUCUUAUGCGGUUGAAGUAAGCUCAACACUUCUUUUUCGACUCCUGCGUUUUGUAAAUCACCUUUCACGUCCGCACUCCACUUCAAUUCUAGAUCAUCAAGGCUGAACUUACUGAACAACAUAGCCUCCGUUGCAUCUUGAGCAUUGACAAGAUGUUCCAAUCCUGAGAUAGAAAGUUGACCUUUGAGAUAAGAUAAAUUCUUCAGCUCCCUUAUCUGAUAUCCAACACCUUGGCCUAUAACAAAGUUGGACAAUGACUGGAGACCAAUCAAUUCACCGAUUCCAAACGGCAUCCGUUCAAUUGAAUUUGCAUCAGUAAUAUCAAGAUGCUGUAGAUUGGCUAAAAGUCUCAAAUCAGAUGGUAAGUGUUUAAGGCGAUCGCAGCCUCUCAACAACAAUGUCUGUAGGUUAAAGAGUGUACAUAUAGAUUCAGGGAGGCUUUUGAUUUUAGUGUAAGAGAAGUUAAGGUAGCGGAUAUGUGUCAGAUCACCAAUUGAAUCUGGUAGCUUGGUGAGGUAGUACCCUUCGAGAGAAAGCACUCUUAAGCGUCUCAAUCUCGGCAACAAAUCGAUAAGAACACUGUUAGAUAGGUAGCAGUCUCCAUCAUUUGGCAACAUAAAUGACAUAAAUGUUCGUAAAUGCUCUGCAUCACCGACUGUAUGGAACCUUUUGAAUCCAUUAUACCUACUUCUGAUGAAGGAUGAGUAUCGAGCACAGCUCAAAAUUUUCUCAUCACCCUCUAGUCUAAAGCAUAUGUCUCCUGCAACCGAUCGAGCUAGAUCAUUGAUGAGGUCAUGCAUCAUGAACUGAGAUUUAUUCCUGCUACAUCUUUGAAAGAAAGACCUUGACACAAGAUCUUGAAAGUACAUGCUACCUAGUUUUUUGAUUUGCAGCCUUUUAGUGUUUACUUGUUGCAACAUUCCUUCUGCCAUCCAUAACAGCACUACUUCCUCCUCUCGGAACUCAUAGUCUUUAGGGAUAAUUGAGCAAUACGAAAAACAUUGUUUUAGAUGUUGUGGAAGGUGAUAGUAGCUCAGCCUUAGAGCUGGAAUUAUGCCACUUUGCUCUUCUGAUGAAUUCCAUAUCUCAUUCUCCAAUACAUCUUUCCAUGCAUCUGGAUCAACACGAGUUCGAAGCAGGCCUCCGAUUGUUUUAGCUGCUAAGGGCAAGCCUUUACACUUCUUCACAAUCUGUUCUCCAAGUUCUUUCAAGUCCAAAUGACCACUGAAAUCUUUGGCUCCUAUGGAAUGUUGAGCUAAAAUGAACAAACAAUCAUCAUUUGACAGUUCUUUCAGUGAGUAAUCCGGAACCGUUUUCAUAACUGAUGAGACGUUCUGGUUUCGCGUUGUCACAAGAAUCUUGCUUCUCGAAUCCCCUACUUCGAAAGGAGAUCGAAGGAUGGUCCAAUCAUUGUAACUCAUAUUCCAAAUAUCAUCCAAAACAAGCAGAAAUUUCUUUUUGGACAGCUUCUCCUUCAAUUUGACUUGAAGCAAAUUCAGAUUAUUUACAUCAUUGCAAGAUGCAUCACAAGUGACCGACUGCAAAAUCGAUUUUGUUAUCCUAACGAUAUUGAAAUCUUCAGAAACACACACCCAUGCUUUGACGUCGAAAAGAUCUUGGACCCUAUUAUCAUUGUAAACUAGUUGAGCAAGAGUUGUCUUACCAAUUCCUCCAAUGCCAACAAUGGGGACGACAGAAACUUGAACAUCAGUAUCACCAUCCAUUAAAAGCAAAUCAAUCACUACAUUUUUAUCAUAUUCUCUACCAUAAACAAGAGCUUCAUUCACCAAAGAACUUGUUGGUGGUCUUUCAACUCUCUUAGGCCUACCAACAUCGAACUCUCUUAAUUGCAACUCAUUUUUCCAAGUGACCAAAUCAUCCAAUCUAGAACUAAUGGCUUUAAUCUUGUUCAUCAUCUUAUAUCUAAACAAGAAAGCAUUCGGACCAAAACUUGCAGUGAAGCUAUGAAUGAUCUUCCUUACCUUACUUCGGUGCGCUUGUUGAUCUUUCGUUAACUUGUUACGAAGAGCUUCUGUAGCAAACUCGUCCAAGAUGUCGUCGACAUCGAAAGCCAAGUCUCGGAGCUUGGACAACCACAUCUUCACAUGCUGGUCCUUCAAUUGCUUCUCCUCUGCAUCAGCAAGCACUGCAUGGACAGUCCUCAGUACUGUCUCCAGCUUGUUAAGUUCCUUUUGAACCUCUUUUUCAGUGGCGAAGUGGAGGGUAUCAGGAGAGGUUAAGUUGGCAAACAAGGCCUCAAAGAAAGAGGAUAUGGCAAUUUCUCCAGAGAAGUACAUGGCUCAACCUUGAGCAGCACUGAGAUGGGAAUUGAUUGAUAAUUCAACAGUAAGGGGUUGGAUUAAAAGUGUGAAGGGACUUAAGACAGCUAGAAAUCCUGUCAUUUUCUUUUGAGUUUUCUAUAAUACAAAUAUGGAUGGAUGGACCCCCAGUGUUUGAAAGCAAGGGUAAAAAUUGUCAAAGAAUCAAAACUGUGUUGACUUUAGGGAUGAGGAUGCUUCCGCGUAGUAAUGAAUGACCAAAUAAUUUCAAACCAAUUCGAUAGUAACAUUUUGUUACUUUUAAGCAAUUUUUCUCUGGUGACACCAAUGUCAUAUCCUACGCCCAAUACACAAGUCAAUUAUGAUCCAUCUUUUUGUUUUUAACAAAUUUAAAAUUUAAUUCUUUUUAUUUUUUUAAAAUUAGGUCCAAUUAUUAAUGUUUUAAAUUUCUUUUAGUUAAUUUUAUUGAUGUAACGUUUUAAAAUAAAAAAAAGUUACUCACUUGAUCAUAAUGUAAUUAAAAAAGGCAUUGUAAUGUCAGCAACCUUUUAGCCUAGUGAUAAGAGCAUCAUAUUGUAGGCAUAAAAUAAGGGGCUGUGCUAUGGUGUUGCCCCUUUCUAGCUGCUGUUAUAUCUGCUGCCUUGAAGCUCGGAAGUCGCCACCGUCGUCUCCAACUGCCGCUGCCGGCGUCUAGUUCAGGUGAGGCAGUUGCUGCCGUUUUAUUUUUAACCAACUUUUUGUUUGUUUGUUUGCGUUGUAAAAUGUUAACAAAGUUAAGCUGUUUGCUAAUGUAUUUUGACUUCUCCUUUAUGGCUUUAUGUGCUUAUUUUUUUAUGGGAGAGAUGGGGCUAUUUAUUGUAUCCAUUUCCAAUUGGUUUUUCCCAUUUCUAUUAUUUUAUUUUUAUUUUUUAAAAUUUUCCCAUAUUUUACUUAUUUUUUAAAAUUUUAUUUAUUUUAAUAUUUAGACUAGCCAAUUCAGUAGUUAAAUUGACCAAAACGAUUAAACUGAAAACCGGUGAUAUGAACGAUUAUAAAUAGUACAAUCUCAUGAUUUUAUUCAAAGAUUAAGUGAAUAUGUACAACUAACCCUAUAUUAUAACAUUUUACUAUAACAACUAAAUUUAUUGUAGAACUAAUUUUUAUGUUUUGUUGUUACCUUUUAUACCACAUUUUCAUAUAUAACAACAAUAUUCAUAAAGUACUAAAUUAAUUAUCUAUAAAAGUCUUAUGUCUCAAAUUUUAAUUAUAUUCUUAAGUGAAAUGAAAAUAAUGAAUUUUAGUUAAAUAUUAUUUCACUUAAUACUUAUUCAUUUUGGCACUGGUCUAUUUUGAUCAAUUUGACUCGUGUGUUUUUAUUUUGUAUAUCCCAUUACUCUAAUUUGAUUUUUCGUUAAAAAAAUUAAACCAACCAUAAUGUGUCAAAAAAAUUACUUAAAAAUUAAUAACAGAAAAUUCAAAUUAUUAAAAUAAAAAUUAUAAAAGUCCAAUUUUUUUUUAGAAAAUUAUAAAAACUAAAAAACUAUAAUUUAUUUUUGAAAAUUAUAAAAAUUAUAAGUAUGCAAAAACAAAAAACAGAUUUCAUAACAUUUUAAAAUUUUGUUUGUUUGGAAUUUAUGGAUUUUAAAAAAUUUUAGAAUUUUAUGAAAACUUUUAAAAGUUUUAAGAAUUUCUUUUAUAUAUUUUUAAGAAAUUUCGAGUUUUUUUAGUAAAAAAUAACAUAAAAUUCUUAAAAAAAUUCUGAAAAAAUUUAGAAUUUCAAAUAAACCAUUUGUUUAAACUUUAUGGAAAUUUCUAAUUUUUUAAAAAGUUUUACAUGUAAUUUUAACUUUUUAUAAUUUUCAAAAAUAGAUUAUGAUUUUUUUAUUUUUUAUAAUUUUGUUUUUGGACUUUUUUAGGUAGGUUUUUUUUUUUUUUGGAUUUCUAAUGAUUUUUUUUUAGUUUUGUUAUAUUUUUUAAAAAAUUCAAGUGAAUUUUUCACUUUUUCUUCUACAUGGCGGUCAAUGGUUAGUUUAAUUUUUUUUUAAAAAAAUUUGGGUUGGGAUAACAUAGAUUACAAAAUUAAAGUACAGGGCUUAAACUGAUAACAAGAAUAAAGUAUAAGAGCCAAACUAAUAAAAAAUAGUAUAAGUACUAAAGUGAUGAUUUAUCUAUAAUAAAAGGGCCAACAGAGAUACUAAGCCAUAUUAUUUCAAGAAAACCUUAAAUUUUAUUAAAAAAUUAUAUUAAUCAUAUUUAUUAAAUAAAAAUAAUAUUAAAUAAUUAGAAUUAAACCUAUAAAAAUUUAUCAUAUUUAUUAAAUAUACUAUCUAACUCUCGUUAAUUAACAAUAGGGUAAACUACACAUGUAAUCACCUAAUUUUCAUAAGUAUCAUUUUAGGAAGAGUAGUUUGUAUCUCUUUUCAUUUUGAUCAUCUUUCCCAAUAAAAGUUAAUGGAAAUCCCACGUGGAAUUCCAAUUCCUUUUUCUUUCACUCGGAAAUUUUAUAAUUAAUAAAUAAUUUUUAUAAUUUAUACCAAACUUAAUAAAAUCUUUUUUUUUAUUUCACUUAUUUUCUUCAUCCUCAAGAGCAAAAAGAAAAAUCAAUCUCCCAAGCAUCAAAUCUUGGUCGCCUAUUCACCGUCGCCGUCGGUCUUGAAAUGCCGUCAUCAGGCCACGCUUCGACGAUAACCCACUGUCCAAAGCCACCCAAGACAAAGUCUUUCCUUCUUUUCUUCGCUAUUUCUCUUUUUUUUCUCCUUGAGUCAUCAUAGCCACUAUUGCCCCUCUACCCAAAACUGCUACCCCCAUUAAACCUCCGCCAUCAAACACUGCUUAGAAGCUUUUUUAUAAAAAUCAUUCUAAAAUUUUGAAAUAAUUACAAAAAUAAUCCACUUUUUUUUUAUUAUGUACAUAAAUGACCUAAAAUGAAUCGUGAAAGUUGGUAAAACCAAAGAGAUUGAUACCACCAACAUGCCAUGUCAGCCAGUCAGAUUAAAAAAAAUCAAUUUUUCUAAUGGAGCCAUAUAGAAAGGCGCCAUUUGUAUAAAUACAAGAGAAAUAUCAUUAUUUUUCAUUAAUAGAACCAUAAAGAAUGGUACUACCACUUUAAUGUGCCAAUUUUUUUAGAAUCGUUUUUUCUUAUUUAAAAAUAAAAUUGAUAUUUUAUUUGGUGGAGCUAUAGAGAAUGACGCCAUCAAUAUUCUAUGUUAGUUUUUUCUAAAUGUAUUUUUUUAAUUUUAAAUUAAAAUUUAUAUUUUAUUUGGUGAAGUAAUUCUCUUUGGCGUAAUUAAAUGACUAUAUAUAACCUCAAUGGUAGUUCACUCUAAGUUGAAAGAGAGAUGAGUGUUUUUUUAUGUUUGAUUCUUUAUGUUUAUUUAGAAAAUUUUAUAAUUUAAAGGUAUGUCCGACACCGACAAAUUUAAUGAUUAUAUUCGACGACAAUCUCAAGUAAAAUUAGGGGUCUCGGUUGCCAGCUAUUUAUUUGGUAACGGGUUCAAAUUGGUUUUGUAAGUCUUUUCGUUGGCUGUGGUAGGACGAUAAUGGGUUUAAAUUGGUUAUGCAACUAACAAGUGGAUUAUUUGGGAUUCUCUAGGUCAACGGGAUGUUUGAAGGUUUUAAGGAAUCCCAAAUCGAAUUGCACGAGUAAGAUCAUCAAUAUCAGCAGCAUCCGAGCUACAAGAUAAUAGCACCAAAAAACUUGCUCAGUUGACUUGCUCGUGUUGCGGUUAAAUAUUGUAUUUUUCAAUUUGUAAGACACAAUGUUGUUGGUCUUGAACAAAAUCGUUUAAUUAUAUUUUAUCUGUAAGAUAAAAUGUUGUCGACCUUGAACAAAAUCGUUUAAUUAUGUAUUAUUUGUAAGACACACAAUCAUUUAAUUUUUUUUUAGUAUUGAAAAAGUUGCUUGUGUUGUAAAAUUAUAUAUUGUAAGUUAAGUGAAAUUAUUUUGGAAUGUUGCAAAUGUAAAAUUAUCUUUUGUAAAAUAUAAUUUGUGAAUUAUGUAAAUUGAUAGUUAUUUAAAAUGUUGGCAAUAUAAACUAAUUUUCAUUUAAAUUAUUUCUGUAAUGUGAAUUAAUAGUUUGAUAAUGGGCAUUUUUAAAAGAAAUAUAAAAAGAGAGGACCAAAAAAUAAAGAAAGUUUGGUAAAAAAUGAGAAAGAAGAAAAAAAGAAAGUGGGAGAGGGAGUUGGCCGAAAAAAGAAUGAGAAAGGAUUGAUUUUAAAAAAAUAUAUAUAUACUAGGGAAUUUUUAAAAGAAAUUUAAAAAAAAACCAAAAAAAUAAAUAUGAAAAAGCUUAUUGAUUGGUCACAUCGCAUCAACCGCAUUAGCGACGUGACUAGUCAGGAGAGAGGAUAGUUUCUUCUUUUUAAUGUAAAAAAAGAAAGAAAGAAAAUUUUACUUGUUGUUGAAGUCGGCUGGGCUUUUUUUUUUUUAUAAAAAUAACCUUAAAUUUUUGAAUAAAUACAAACAUGACUUUUUUUUAUUAUGUACAUAAAUCCCCGCACGACGGUUGAUGCACUUUGUCAUCUAGAAAGCUUUCAAGUUUUGAGAAUAUAGUUCUACAUUCAUCGACGUCGCCCUUCAAGCGUUGUCUUCCAUGACAUUCUUCACAUGUUCGACGUGCACAUGCCUAACAUCCAUUUGUUUUGUUUGUCUCAACCCCAUUUUUAGCAUAAAGGUUGUCAGUCUAUAAAACAUAGCUAAGAACGCGUAUGCCUCAAGAUGGAAUUAACGACCUUAAUGAGGUUGUCGUCAUAUGACCAUAUCGAUACAUAUCAUCAAAACAUUGAGUCCAUUACCACGACUCCAUGCUACCCAAUCAUUGUUUGAAAGAAAGAUUAAACCCUGCCAUAUCAAUCUCCAACCUCGCCAGCUUAUGUCUGAAUUGAUGCGAUUCCAGUUCGUACCCUACAUAUGUAUUUUGAUAAAACAUGUUACAGUCCUUUUAGUAAAUGGACUCAAAAUAUUUACAAAGACAGUUUUAAUUACAAUAUUUGUACACAUGUUCACGAUUUGUUUGCACCAGUCUUUGUUCUUGUACCAUUGUGGAAGUUGACAGCGUUGUGGCGAAUGCAAUAGACGAACAUCCACGGAACCUUGGAUCGACAGAUCGCAGCAACAAGACCCUUGGAUCUGUUAGAGACAAUGCAAUUGUUGUCUUGCUUGACAACAUGCCUCCGCAAGUUUCUAAUGAAAAAUUCCUACGAUUCGAAGUUCUACAACUCCACGAUGGCGAAAGUGAUCGAUAGUACAUUUCGAUUACCGUCUUCUGCAACUGCAAUCAGUAAUAUCUAUAUGUAUUUUUCAUAAAACCAUGUUCGAUCAACCUGCACAAAGGUUUCAGUGGGAGAAGGCCCUAAUGUCACAAAAGCCACUUUUUGCUGCUUGUAAAGUGUAAAUAAAAUCCCUUAAAUUUUCUAUUAAUUUGACAAGCAGAAGUUCAUGAGCGCGCACACACACAAGAGAAAUGAAAAACCCAAAUUUUUUUCCUAUAGAUUUUCAAAUAAAGCUUGACCCUUGUGUUGAAAAUAUGAUGAAAGUGGACAAAAUAUUACUUAUAGACCACAUAAUUUUAUGUAGCAUAAAUUAAUAAAGUAUUAAACUUUGUAUAAAUAUAUAAUACUUUUAAAAAUAUUUUAAUAUAAAAAUUUAAUAUAAAUAUAUAAGGCGAAUAAUAUACAUGAAAAUGAUACAAAUAGAUAUAAUUAUUCAUAUGUCACUCCACUUCACUUGAAAGGUUUCCCCGCUUCUAUAUAAUUAUACAUAUAUACAAUGUAUAAACAUACACUCCAAUCCACUUAAAAGGCAAGCUUCCCACUUCUAUUCUAUCAUUCUAAACCAUCAAACAAAUUUAAACAUUCCAAUAAAACUAUGAAAACCCACAUAUUUUCUCUGGUUUUCUUCUUGUUUUCAGUAGCCCAAGGAUUGAACCCCAAAUGUGAGACCCAAGACCAAGGUUCAAACUUCCAAGUGUUCCAUAUUUACAGUCCCUGCUCACCCUUCAAGCCUUCAAAGCCACUGUCAUGGGAAGAAGAUGUGCUCCAAACAUAAGCCAAGGACCAAGCCAGGCUCCAAUAUUUGUCAAGCCUGGUGGCUAAGAAACCUGUGGUGCCGAUAGCUUCUGGCAGACAGAUUGUGCAAAGUCCCACUUAUAUCGUGAGGGCCAACAUUGGAACCCCACCUCAAACCUUGCUUAUGGCAUGGAUACUAGCAAUGAUGCCGCUUGGGAUACCUUGCACUGGCUGCCUUGGCUGCUCUUCUACUGUAUUUGACAAUGCUAAAUCCACCACUUUCCAGUCCCUCGGCUGCCAAGCUCCUCAAUGCAAGCAGGUAGCUCCUCAAUGCUAAUUCCAGGUUAGGCGUUGCCUAUGAGCUCUGCACCUAAAUUCCAGCUUUGUUCCCUAAUUUAUU